ensembl:lncRNA
CCUCUUUCAAAAUGAAUGUGCUGUCAAUGUCUUCUAAAACAGACUUGAAUUUCCACAUUUCAGCUCUCCAACGGCAGCCAUGUUUGUUGAAAACGAAUUCACCCCAAAAGCUCUUUGGUGACGUGGUUGAUUACGUUAGGGUUGAUCAUCUGUCCAUCAUCGUAUAAAGCCCGCCCUGACAAUUUGAUUGGUCUAUCUAUCUCCUCACAGAUUUUUGUGAGGAGAUAGUUUCUCCCAACGGAGCGACACCAGACCGAACUUCACGACCUAAGAUUUUGUGGGCGUAGCUAAGUUCGUCUGGCUUCCAGGCUACAAAAUGUACCAUCUUAAGGAAAAAAAUAUUAUUGUUUAUUUAUUUUUUUUAUUUUUUAGACCACGUUGUAAUCGCGGACGUUGCGGUUAGAAAAUCGCGUUUUACCAUAUUGCAAUUUAAUCGCAAAUGCAUUUAAUCGUUCAGCCCUAAUAGAGAUAGAGACAAUUUUAUUGUUUGGCGCUCUAUAAAUACAAUUGAAUUGAAUUGUUGAUGAAUGAUGAGGGGACAAAAUCAUCAACAAUUUCCUGUGACAAACAGGUGUGAAACCAAUGAAAUGCUUUCUUCAAACUCAAACUGGUUGUGCUACAUACAUAAAUGUGACUGAACCGGUACAUCCACAUGGCCACACACCCCACCUGCCCCAACCUCCCCUCAGAAGGGGGACCAGUGAAGGGGGGGGGGGGGUUACUCACCUGCUUCAGGCUGAGAGAGCCCAGGCACUCAUGCUGGGGGGGCGGGCCCUUCUUCAGCUGGAAGUGGGCGGCUCUGAGCCGGUCCUGCAACUGCAUGUACACCUCCAGGGCAUCCUCAGAGCAGCAGCAGAACACCAGCUGGUCUCGCACCAAUGUCCUCUGGGGACAGACAGACAGACAGACAAUCAGGCAGGCAGGCAGGCAGGCAGGCAGGCAGGCAAGCAGGCAGACAGACAGACAGACAAUCAGACAGACAGACAAUCAGACAGACAGACAGGCAGACAGACAUACAGACAGACAGACAGA